AUCCAGCUGACGAGUCUUAAAUAAGACGAAACGUGCAUCCUGAAU
rnacentral:hammerhead_ribozyme from 1 species